UCAUUGGUCUGUGGACUCUGCAAGCCUACGGAUGGAAGACAUGUGGAAGGUGGUCCUCACAGUUAGUCUCCUCUGCUGGGGCAUCUGCUCCUCUGAGGCCAAAGUCACCUGCAAAGAUAAAAACGGCAUUGAGGUGGACUGGUAUAUCCUAUACAAGGUGCCCCAAACUGAACAACAAAGCCCUUAGUGGUUUGGAGUAUUUCUACAUUGAUUCAGAUAAAAAUUAAUGGCUUGGCCCUAUCAACGACCAUAAAGGUGUCCUGGCAAACACUCUGCAGCCUCUCCUUGCUCACAAAACUCAAGUGAGAAUAGUUUUAUUAUUGUAAUUUGUUUUGUCUGUUUUUCUGAAAAUAAAAUCCUUGCUUUAACUGAAGAAUAGAUAUGAUGGGCUGGUACUACUGAGUCCACUGGGAGAAUAAGGUCACAUCUAGCACAUUGAACACACACAAACACACACACACACAACCCAACAUAGACGCACACACAUACCCCAGCAUACACAUACUCAGACACCUCAACACACACCCACACACCACAACACACACACACACAAACCCCAACACAGACAGACACACCACCCAACAGUGGUACUGACUGGUGUAUGAUUGUUACUGGGCUGUGUGGUACUGACCGGUGUGUGAUAGUUACAUGGGUGUGUGGUACUGACCAGUGUGUGAUAGUUACAGGGGUGUGUGGUACUGACUGACCGGUGUGAUAGUUA